CCCUUAGAUGUUCUGGGCGGCCCGCGCACUACAAUGGCGCUUUCAGCGAGUUCCUAUGUUGAAUUUUCCUGGGUAUUCUUGGAAGCGGCGUCUUGACUUGGGAUAGAUCCUUGUAAUUGUUGGUUUUGAACGAGGAAUUCCUUGUAAUCGCGGUUGAUCAGCUCGCGUUGAAUACGUCCCUGCCCUUUGUACACACCGCCCGUCGCUACUACCGAUUGAAUGGUUUAGUGAGAUCUCCGGAUUGGCUCUGUAGGUCCCGCAAGGGAUUUAUUAGUAGCCAAGAAGCUGCUCAAACUUGAUCAUUUAGAGGAAGUAAAAGUCGUAACA
rnacentral:rRNA from 1 species